rnacentral:rRNA from 1 species
AGUGAACGCUGGCGGUAGGCCUAACACAUGCAAGUCGAACGGCAGCACAGUAAGAGCUUGCUCUUACGGGUGGCGAGUGGCGGACGGGUGAGGAAUACAUCGGAAUCUACUUUUUCGUGGGGGAUAACGUAGGGAAACUUACGCUAAUACCGCAUACGACCUACGGGUGAAAGCAGGGGAUCUUCGGACCUUGCGCGAUUGAAUGAGCCGAUGUCGGAUUAGCUAGUUGGCGGGGUAAAGGCCCACCAAGGCGACGAUCCGUAGCUGGUCUGAGGGGAUGAUCAGCCAAACUGGAACUGAGACACGGUCCAGACUCCUACGGGAGGCAGCAGUGGGGAAUAUUGGACAAUGGGCGCAAGCCUGAUCCAGCCAUACCGCGUGGGUGAAGAAGGCCUUCGGGUUGUAAAGCCCUUUUGUUGGGAAAGAAAAGCAGCAGGUUAAUACCCCGCUGUUCUGACGGUACCCAAAGAAUAAGCACCGGCUAACUUCGUG